UACGAAGGGGGCUAGCGUUGUUCGGAUUUACUGGGCGUAAAGCGCACGUAGGCGGAUCUUUAAGUCAGAGGUGAAAUCCCAAGGCUCAACCUUGGAACUGCCUUUGAUACUGGGGAUCUUGAGUCCGGGAGAGGUGAGUGGAAUUCCCAGUGUAGCGGUGAAAUGCGUAGAUAUUGGGAGGAACACCAGUGGCGAAGGCGGCUCACUGGACCGGUACUGACGCUGAUGCGCGAAAGCGUGGGGAGCAAACGGG
rnacentral:rRNA from 1 species